rnacentral:rRNA from 1 species
GAUGAACGCUGGCGGCGUGCCUAAUACAUGCAAGUCGAGCGAACAGAUGAGGAGCUUGCUCCUCUGACGUUAGCGGCGGACGGGUGAGUAACACGUGGAUAACCUACCUAUAAGACUGGGAUAACUUCGGGAAACCGGAGCUAAUACCGGAUAAUAUAUUGAACCGCAUGGUUCAAUAGUGAAAGACGGUUUUGCUGUCACUUAUAGAUGUAUCCGCGCCGCAUUAGCUAGUUGUUAAGGUAACGGCUUACCAAGGCAACGAUGCGUAGCCGACCUGAGAGGGUGAUCGGCCACACUGGAACUGGGACACGGUCAAGACUCCUACGGGAGGAAGCAGUAGGGAAUCUUCCGCAAUGGGCGAAAGCUUGACGGAGCAACGCCGCGUGAGUGAUGAAGGUCUUCGGAUCGUAAAACUCUGUUAUUAGGGAAGAACAAAUGUGUAAGUAACUAUGCACGUCUUGACGGUACCUAAUCAGAAAGCCACGGCUAACUACGUG